rnacentral:lncRNA from 1 species
UGGAACGAAUAUGAGAAAGGCGAGAUUUGGAGGCUUCAAUGGUAGACUCCAAAGAGUGGUCGUACCCCGUUCGUCGUGUAGUAGAAGAGGUACAUGCGGCGUUGGAGUGGGGAGACGGCCACGAGGGGCAGUGCCGAUGAUGGACCUCGUCGUCGUCUGGAGAAGAGAGUUCAAGGAGUUCAGAGAUUGGGAGGCAAAAGGGGAGGCGAAAGGGGAGAAAGCUGAAAGGGGAGGUGAAAUGGGAUAAAGCAGACAGAGGAGGCAAAAUGGGAGAAAG